UACAGAGGUCUCAAGCGUUGUUCGGAUUCAUUGGGCGUAAAGGGUGCGUAGGCGGUGUGGCAAGUCGGGAGUGAAAUCUCUGGGCUCAACCCAGAGGCUGCUUCCGAAACUGCUGUGCUUGAGUGUGGGAGAGGCGCGUGGAAUUGCAGGUGUAGCGGUGAAAUGCGUAGAUAUCUGCAGGAACACCCGUGGCGAAAGCGGCGCGCUGGACCACUACUGACGCUGAAGAACGAAAGCUAGGGGAGCAAACAGG
rnacentral:rRNA from 1 species